rnacentral:rRNA from 1 species
AUUGAACGCUGGCGGCAGGCCUAACACAUGCAAGUCGAGCGGAUGAAGGGAGCUUGCUCCUGGAUUCAGCGGCGGACGGGUGAGUAAUGCCUAGGAAUCUGCCUGGUAGUGGGGGAUAACGUCCGGAAACGGGCGCUAAUACCGCAUACGUCCUGAGGGAGAAAGUGGGGGAUCUUCGGACCUCACGCUAUCAGAUGAGCCUAGGUCGGAUUAGCUAGUUGGUGGGGUAAAGGCCUACCAAGGCGACGAUCCGUAACUGGUCUGAGAGGAUGAUCAGUCACACUGGAACUGAGACACGGUCCAGACUCCUACGGGAGGCAGCAGUGGGGAAUAUUGGACAAAGGGCGAAAGCCUGAUCCAGCCAUGCUGCGUGUGUGAAGAAGGUCUUCGGAUUGUAAAGCACUUUAAGUUGGGAGGAAGGGCAGUAAGUUAAUACCUUGCUGUUUUGACGUUACCAACAGAAUAAGCACCGGCUAACUUCGUG